rnacentral:rRNA from 1 species
AGUGAACGCUGGCGGUAGGCCUAACACAUGCAAGUCGAACGGCAGCACAGUAAGAGCUUGCUCUUACGGGUGGCGAGUGGCGGACGGGUGAGGAAUACAUCGGAAUCUACUUUUUCGUGGGGGAUAACGUAGGGAAACUUACGCUAAUACCGCAUACGACCUACGGGUGAAAGCAGGGGAUCUUCCGACCUUGCGCGAUUGAAUGAGCCGAUGUCGGAUUAGCUAGUUGGCGGGGUAAAGGCCCACCAAGGCGACGAUCCGUAGCUGGUCUGAGAGGAUGAUCAGCCACACUGGAACUGAGACACGGUCCAGACUCCUACGGGAGGCAGCAGUGGGGAAUAUUGGACAAUGGGCGCAAGCCUGAUCCAGCAAUACCGCGUGGGUGAAGAAGGCCUUCGGGUUGUAAAGCCCUUUUGUUGGGAAAGAAAAGCAGCAGGUUAAUACCCCGCUGUUCUGACGGUACCCAAAGAAUAAGCACCGGCUAACUUCGUG